rnacentral:tRNA from 1 species
GCCCCAGUAGCUCAGUCGGCAGAGCGUCUCCAUGGUAAGGAGAAGGUCUAGGGUUCGAUUCCCUACUGGGGCC